rnacentral:lncRNA from 10 species
CACCCACAGCCUAGGCUGGCUGCCUGAGAGUAGCGAGUGACAGGUAAGGGCUCUGAACCUUCCUGCGUGCUACCCAAGGAGUGCCUAGGGCUACCAGGAGGCCCAGGGAGGAACCUUGAGACCUGAGAAAGGCUUUUCUUCCCCGAGAGGACCACUGCUCAGGCUCAGAGGCCAUGGGGUGAAGUGCACAAAAAAGUGGGCGUCCAGCCAUGCUCUAAGUCCCCCGAAGAUGAAGACCAGGGAGCAGCUUCCUCCAAUGAAGCAGCAGCAAUCAGAGGACCAGGAGGCUGAAGCCCUGAGCCCAGCCAGAGGCAGGAUCAGCCAAGUCUGGGACAGGCUUCAAUUAUUUUAGGCAGAGCUUCUGGUUCCUGGGCCUUCAGACUUGGACUAGAACUUCACUACCAGCUUUCCUGGGUCUCCAGCUUGCAGAGAGCAGAUCGCAGAACUUCUUAGCCUCCAUAAUCACAAGAACGUGUUUGCUUCCCCUUCCACCAUGAUUGUAAGUUUCCUGAGGCCUCCCCAGUCCUGCAGAACUGCUUUGAAGAAGACCACUGCGUCGGUAUUUGUGAAAUGUUUUGAGCCUCUGGAUUUAAAUAAGGGCUGAAGCCUCAGAGUCUGGAUCAGUGUCAGGUUGGCACCGCUUCUGUUGCUUCCAGGAAGAUUGCAUACACAUGUAAAACCGGAAAAACGUUAAUGAAGAGAAAAACUAAAAGCUCCCGCCCCCACCCAGGCCUGCUCAGAAGAACCCAAGCCACUCAGAAGCAGGAGGCAGCCUUCACCCCAACCAGACCAAUAUCCGUUCCAGACUCAGGAUUACAACAAUCUGGGAGAGGGUCAACCAAGUCAGAGUCCCACAUGGCAGAAGAGCUGCUUUAGCUUAAGACUCUUAACUCUUUUUCUUCGGGGCAGGAAAGGUUUGAGCCAAUGAAGGAUGAGGCUUUCCAGGCCCAGGACACAACCUUGAUCCAAGGCCUAGUUGUGGCUUUAAUUUUUGUAAAUCAAGCCUCAAGUUUUUCUUCACUCUUUUAGCCAAAGAUAUGUUUCCCAGGAUGCAUGAAAUAAAUAAAUAAAAUGUACCAAAUUAGAGAUUGUGAGACAUGUAUGUCACUUAAAUCCUUUGUAGGCAA